AUGCACGCUGGCGGCGUGCCUCACCCCUGCCAGUCGCGCGGCAGCGAGGGGUGCUUGCACCCUGUCGGCGAGCGGCGGACGGCUGAGUAACGCGUGGGAACGUGCCCCAAAGUGAGGAAUAACUGCCCGAAAGGGUAGCUAAUACCGCAUAUUAUCUUCGGAUCAAAGGAUUUAUCCGCUUUGGGAGCGGCUCGCGUCGGAUUAGGUAGUUGGUGAGGUAAUGGCUCACCAAGCCGACGAUCCGUAGCUGGUCUGAGAGGAUGACCAGCCAGACUGGAACUGAGACACGGUCCAGACUCCUACGGGAGGCAGCAGUGAGGAAUCUUCCACAAUGGGCGAAAGCCUGAUGGAGCAACGCCGCGUGCAGGACGAAGGCCUUCGGGUUGUAAACUGCUUUUAUAAGUGAGGAAUAUGACGGUAACUUAUGAAUAAGGAUCGGCUAACUACGUG
rnacentral:rRNA from 1 species